UGCGUAAGCACUAUGACAGGAGAUAGCUCACACCCUUAUUCCAUCACACUCUGACCUUUGUGCUAACAGACCUGUACAAAGCAAGUGGUUAAUACUUUGAUACCAAGCACGGACUUCCGAACAGAAAGACAGAAGUGCAGGUAGCGGGGCCGUGGCACCGCACGAGGGCCGAGUUCAGCACCGCCUGCGUUUGCUCUUUCCCAGUGGUCCUGUAACACGGCCUGCCAAAGCACGGCCAGAACGGCUCUUCGGCCGCAGGGCAGGGAGCGGCUCCGUCCGGGCGCGGUGCCGGCUGGGGGUGGCCGGGCCGUUCGCGGGGCGCUGCGGGGCGGGGGCAGCGCGGGGUGCGGGACGAGCCCCGACCGGUCCCGAGUUCCGCAGGGCGCUUCUCGUCCUUUUUUCAACCGCAUCCCUCGGGAGGGCGCCGGGCUGUUGGCUUCCCAAGCCGUUGUAGCCGGAAAAACCAAGCCUCGGCGGCAGGCAACUGCUUAGGAAUAUUUGGUGUCGUCUGUACGUUGUUUUAACACCUGAAGAUGAGGCUUGCCCUUAGGAAAGCAGCUGUUCUCCUUUCGGGUGAGCUGCUCACGUGUUGCAUUGCUUCGUGCGAGGAGCACAUCGCAGAGUGCGCUCUUGUGGGAGAGGCUGUGUGUGCACGGUGGGGUGACGGAACGGGCUGCGCUGCGCGGGGCUGAAUGGAGAGAGGCGCUGCGCGAGGUCGGGCUGCAGCGAGCGCGGUUGUGCUGCGGUUUAUUCGGGCGCUUUCUUUUCAGGAGCGGUACGCAAACCUGGGGGCGCUGGGUCGCUCUGUGCAGGCCGGCGAUAGCUGAAAACUAGAAACCGGAACGAGGAGCUGCAGUGCGAAGCUGAAUUACGGCUCAAGGGCGCUUCCUUGCGGUUCCUCCCUCCGGCCCGCGCUGAUGCGCUGCGCGCUGACGCUGCCCCGGCUCCAGCCGAGCCUCAGGCAGCAGCCGGAACGCUUGGCAGCGGGGAACCCCGGGGAGGACACGGGAAUAACUGCGUAAACCAUAAACACGGGGCUGUAACCGCGCGUUCCCAGCACUCGGGUUCUGCACGCCAUGGGGAGCAGCCAGCAGGUGCGUGCGGGAGGAGCUGCAGUCUGGAUACCUGCCCUGCUCAGGUACGGAAGCGUCCCCUGCCAGGGGGGGACUUGUCUGCCACGGGCCUGAUCCUGUUCCCACCAAAGCACUGCCGGUGCCGUCGGUGGAAGCGGAGCAGGCUGACGGCAGCUGAGCGGCGUCUGGCAGGACCAGGCUCCCUGCAGGAGGCCUCCUGCUGGGCCAAAACGUGUGAAAGUCUUCCCCUGAUCUCGUAGGACGUGCUUGACAUCCAGUACCGGUGGUGACAAGACGAAGACGAGAGGCAACGUGUAUGAGGCUACUGAAAAUAGCAAAUCAAACAGUUGGUCAGGAAACCAGCUGAGGAGUGUGCCAUCCACUUAACUGGGAAGAGACGUCUCCAUUCCCUGGCUCACGCUCAUCCUUCCAUGCAUGGAGGUACGAUACUUGCCAUGAUUUUUUGUGCUGGGUGUCGGUCUGUGUUGUUAUGAGUGGUUCUUUGAUACAAGUGAAGAGCAAGAGUAGUAAAAAAAAAAAAAAAAAAGUGAGAAUAGGUUGUUGGUGGAUGUAACUCACAGUCUCUGUAACAGCAUCAAUCUCUUCAUUUCUAAAGGCUGUUGAGGACUUUUCUCUUUAAACCUAAGUAGUUUCUGCAGUAUCCCG
ensembl:lncRNA